CCUACGGGUGGCAGCAGUCGAGAAUCAUUCACAAUGGGGGAAACCCUGAUGGUGCGACGCCGCGUGGGGGAAUGAAGGCCUUCGGAUUGUAAACUCCUGUCAUGUGGGAGCAAAUUAAAAAGAUCGUACCCCAAGAGGAAGAUACGGCUAACUCUGUGCCAGCAGCCGCGGUAAUACAGAGGUCUCAAGCGUUGUUCGGAAUCACUGGUCGUAAAGCGUGCGUAGGCUGUUUCGUAAGUCGUGUGUGAAAGGCGCGGGCUCAACCCGCGGACGGCACAUGAUACUGCGAGACUAGAGUAAUGGAGGGGGAGCCGGAAUUCUCGGUGUAGCAGUGAAAUGCGUAGAUAUCGAGAGGAACACUCGUGGCGAAGGCGGGUUCCUGGACAGUAACUGACGCUGAGGCACGAAGGCGAGGGGAGCGAAAGGGAUUAGAUACCCUAGUAGUC
rnacentral:rRNA from 1 species